rnacentral:rRNA from 1 species
UCAGGCCUAACACAUGCAAGUCGUGCGAGAACACCUUCUUCGGAAGGCUAGUAAAGCGGCGAACGGGUGAGUAACACGUGAGCGAUCUGCCCAGAGGUGGGGGAUAGCCCAGGGAAACCUGGAUUAAUACCGCAUACAGCGUCAGGCUUGGAUACCUGACGUGAAAGCUGGCCUCUUCUAUGCUAGCGCCACUGGAUGAGCUCGCGGCCUAUCAGCUUGUUGGUGGGGUAACGGCCUACCAAGGCAAUGACGGGUAGCUGACGUGAGAGCGUGAUCAGCCACAUUGGGACUGAGACACGGCCCAGACUCCUACGGGAGGCAGCAGUGGGGAAUAUUGCGCAAUGGACGAAAGUCUGACGCAGCGACGCCGCGUGGGGGAGGAAGGCCUUAGGGUCGUAAACCCCUGUCAGAUGGGACGAACCGUAGGUCGAAUAAUACUUGGCCUGCCUGACGGUACCAUCAGAGGAAGCUCCGGCUAACUCCGUGCCAGCAGCCGCGGUAAUACGGAGGGAGCAAGCGUUGUUCGGAAUUACUGGGCGUAAAGGGCGCGUAGGCGGCCUUGUAAGUCGGGUGUGAAAUGCCGGGGCUCAACUCCGUGCACUGCAUCCGAUACUGCUUGGCUGGAGAAAGGUAGAGGCGAGCGGAAUUCC